rnacentral:rRNA from 1 species
GGCUCAGGAUGAACGCUGGCGGCGUGCCUAAUACAUGCAAGUCGAGCGAACGGACGAGAAGCUUGCUUCUCUGAUGUUAGCGGCGGACGGGUGAGUAACACGUGGAUAACCUACCUAUAAGACUGGGAUAACUUCGGGAAACCGGAGCUAAUACCGGAUAAUAUUUUGAACCGCAUGGUUCAAAAGUGAAAGACGGUCUUGCUGUCACUUAUAGAUGGAUCCGCGCUGCAUUAGCUAGUUGGUAAGGUAACGGCUUACCAAGGCAACGAUGCAUAGCCGACCUGAGAGGGUGAUCGGCCACACUGGAACUGAGACACGGUCCAGACUCCUACGGGAGGCAGCAGUAGGGAAUCUUCCGCAAUGGGCGAAAGCCUGACGGAGCAACGCCGCGUGAGUGAUGAAGGUCUUCGGAUCGUAAAACUC